AAUUUCACCGUCGACUGUUUGUAUUUUGGCUUGUUCUCGACGUAGAAGCAUCGGAUUGUGACGAGACUUGGCUCGUUGGAUUCAGGACUGCGAGAGGAAUCCACGAAGCCCUUACUUGCUGGAUUUGGUGAAGAGCUCGAGCUUAGGCGAUCUCUGUACUCGGCGGGUUCCGGGUGAUCCAGCGGGUUGCUCUACACCGGGGGAAGUCCUUCGCUGCCAGGGAUUAGCAUUUUAGAGCCACAGGUUCCGGCUGCUGCACCGUCUGCGGAUCAGGAUCAAGGCAAGGACGUCGCGAGUUAGAGCCCUACCCGACGUGCUGAGCUAGAGGUGCCCUACUGCAGG